rnacentral:rRNA from 1 species
AUUGAACGCUGGCGGCAUGCUUUACACAUGCAAGUCGAACGGUAACAGGCCGCAAGGUGCUGACGAGUGGCGAACGGGUGAGUAAUGCAUCGGAACGUGCCCAGUCGUGGGGGAUAACGCAGCGAAAGCUGCGCUAAUACCGCAUACGAUCUAUGGAUGAAAGCGGGGGACCGUCAGGCCUCGCGCGAUUGUAGCGGCCGAUGUCAGAUUAGGUAGUGGGUGGGGUAAAGGCUCACCAAGCCAACGAUCUGUAGCUGGUCUGAGAGGACGACCAGCCACGCUGGGACUGAGACACGGCCCAGACUCCGACGGGAGGCAGCAGUGGGGAAUUUUGGACAAUGGGCGCAAGCCUGAUCCAGCAAUGCCGCGUGCAGGAAGAAGGCCUUCGGGUUGUAAACUGCUUUUGUACGGAACGAAACGGUCCUGGUUAAUACCCGGGGCUAAUGACGGUACCGUAAGAAUAAGCACCGGCUAACUACGUGCCAGCCGCCGCCGUAAAAC